AAAAAGGUAGCUGAGCAAUACACUGAAAGAAGUUACAAAAUGGCUCUUUUUACCAAGAUUAAUCUUGCAAUAUUUGUCUUAAUCCUCUUAUGGUUUUACAAUUCUCAUUCCACUUCAGCCUCCUCAUUUCACAGUCAGAGUGAGACCCGAAACUCAGGUUUGGUUCCAGGUUGCGCGAGCGGAUACAGAAAGCUAGGGCUUAUGAUCUGUGAAAAUGCAGGUGAUUCAACAAAAUUGGUCUCAGAGGCUCAAAGGUGAACUGCCGUCGCCGCGACCACCGAUCGAGAAACGUGCACCAGAAUGGACGCAUGCUCCGCCACCGCCCCUAAAAAAUGAAUGAAUCUCAUCACCGAACAAUAAGAAAUUUAUGUAUACAUGUAUAUGAUGUACGCAAUGUUAUCUCUUCUUGCAAUGUGCUUAGGUUCUGUAUUAUUAAGUACUGUUAAUCUAUGAAUUUCAUUUACUUUUUGUAAGACAAGAGGAAGCUUUUAAAAUGCAUGUUCCGUUGAA